rnacentral:rRNA from 1 species
GUGGGGAAUAUUGCACAAUGGGCGCAAGCCUGAUGCAGCCAUGCCGCGUGUAUGAAGAAGGCCUUCGGGUUGUAAAGUACUUUCAGCGGGGAGGAAGGUGUUGUGGUUAAUAACCACAGCAAUUGACGUUACCCGCAGAAGAAGCACCGGCUAACUCCGUGCCAGCAGCCGCGGUAAUACGGAGGGUGCAAGCGUUAAUCGGAAUUACUGGGCGUAAAGCGCACGCAGGCGGUCUGUCAAGUCGGAUGUGAAAUCCCCGGGCUCAACCUGGGAACUGCAUUCGAAACUGGCAGGCUGGAGUCUUGUAGAGGGGGGUAGAAUUCCAGGUGUAGCGGUGAAAUGCGUAGAUAUCUGGAGGAAUACCGGUGGCGAAGGCGGCCCCCUGGACAAAGACUGACGCUCAGGUGCGAAAGCGUGGGGAGCAAACAGGAUUAGAAACCCCUGUAGUCC